UUUGAGGAUAGUCAAAGCAUCGAGACGUGAAAGGCCUUGUGUUGUGGAGCCCUGGACCUGCAGCAGCUCAUCCCCGACCUGUAGGCCCUUCUGCUCUGCUGUACUGCCUACCAACAUACAGAGACAUACUCAUGACGAAUGAUUUCCAUCAUGAUGCGGUCUCUGGGCUUGGCGUGAGAGCCCAAGUUAGGGAAGUCAGCUAGUUCAUCACUGGCUCUGCUGAUACCUGCAGUGGAGCUGAGAGACUUGGAACGGCAUAGCUGAGCAACCUGAGUCUGAUUGCCAACGACAGCACCCAAUCUGGUUCUUACUACCAGCGUCAGCAGACCUUUCUUCACUUGCUUCAGAAACCACAGAAAGCAAUAGGGAGGAAAAUGGAUUUGAACAAUGACAAAUGGAUAGAUGGAUCAUAGCCAAUCAUCCAGUUAGGAUUUUGGGAGGUAGGAGGACACCGGACACGAAAAAACAUGCUUGGAAACUCAUACCAUGGAACAUGGAAUUCCACUCAAGUUCAGGAUCAUACCCAGAACGUUACCCAAGACUACAUGUGCUGGAUCAAUGUUGUGAGGCAAAUUUAGAGUGACCUAAUAUAGCUGGAUAGAUGUAUGUGAUUUCUGUUUUUUGUUUGCUUUUGUUUUUUUGUUGU